AUAAAGUAACACAAUCACUGGAGUGCAUCUUUAAGUGAUCCAUCACUCCUCUAGUCACUUACACACAUUAGUCCAGGCAGAGUGUAGAUAUUAGUUAGUCCAGGCAGAGUGUAGAUGUUAGUCCAGGCAGAGUGUAGAUGUUAGUCCAGGUAGAGUGAAGAUGUUAUUCCAGGCAGAGUGUAGAUGUUAGUCCAGGUAGAGUGAAGAUGUUAUUCCAGGCAGAGUGUAGAUGUUAGUCCAGGCAGAGUGUAGAUGUUAGUCAGGCAGAGUGUAGAUGUUAGUCCAGGCAGAGUGUAGAUGUUAG
ensembl:lncRNA